CUUCUUGUUUCUCUUCAGAUCGUAUAAAUCUUUCGCCUUUUACUAAAGAUUUCUGUGGAGAGGAACAAGCAUGAGUGUUGAGAUUCUGUGAUUUUUAUGAGGAUUAGCAUACAG
rnacentral:snRNA from 1 species